rnacentral:rRNA from 1 species
CAAUAGCGUAUAUUAAAGUUGUUGCGGUUAAAAAGCUCGUAGUUGAAUUUCUGUCGAGGUUGACCGGUCCGUUUACUUUUCGGAGUGAAUGCGAUCAUGGUUCGACCGAGAUACUUUCUGGAUGUAGCUGUUGCACUUAGCUGUGUGCUGUGAAAUCCAGGCUUUUACUUUGAGGAAAUUAGAGUGUUUCAAGCAGGCGUUAAAUCAUGCCUUGAAUACAUUAGCAUGGAAUAAUAUGAUAGGACUUUGGUUCUAUUUUGUUGGUUUCUAGAACUGAAGUAUGAUUAAUAGGGACAGUCGGGGGCAUUCGUACUUAACUGUCAGAGGUGAAAUUCUUGGAUUUGUUAAAGACGAACUACUGCGAAAGCAUUUGCCAAGGAUGUUUUCAUUGA